AGUUCAAAACAUGUUUUCUCUUGCCUUCUCAGAUAUCAGAUGGAAAACCUCUGUAUGUGUUCACCAAUGUCACAUCUGGUCAGCGACUGGAGCAAUAGAGGGAAAUGUGUCUGGUGGACAGUGGCAUGUUCCUCAUCUGCCCAAAAGAGGCUUAUACAUAUCUCUGUUUCUGGAUAAACGGCCUGUAGUGAACACCACCAAUGGCACCAUAACUCACCCUGCAUUAUUACUGGAGACCAUUUUUCUGGGCUCUGCUCCAUUGAAAGAAUCUAGGGAUGUCCCAGAGAUUAUCCAGAAUUUAGGUUUCAGAGGAUGUGUGGAAUACGUCAGAUUCAACGGCCAUCUCCUGUCAUACAAUGGCUACAACUCCAGCCCGCCUGUCUACCAAACCUUCUGCGUUUCUCCAAACCACUGUGUUCUGACUCCAUGUCUGAAUGAUUUCUGUCUAUCUGAGCCCUGCUGGAAUGAUAGUGACUGUGGAUCUUCUUCCAAAGACGACUACUGGUGCAUCUGUCUGCACAAUGUGUCUUCGUGUGGAUCUUGCUCAUCUGAUGUCGUCCACAGCGAGGCCUGUUCUUAAACCCAAAAGAGCAAAGUCCCUGUAUGGAUUGUAUUAGUCAUUCUUCCCAUUUUUCUCAUUCUUCUGAUCCUAGUUUUCUGUAUUAUCCUCAGAAGACAAGGCAAACUCUGUAAGGGCGAAAAGAGGAGUCAAAUUUACUUCAUGCCACCAAGCAAACAGCACGGCAUGGAUAACCUGGGAUUUAGUUUAAGUCCUGCUGAUGAGUGUCCUCAAAACGUGUCAAAUGAAGCCAGCAAGCAGCAGCCAGAUCUGAUAAAACCAAGGGAUUCUAUGCAGGGAGUGGAAAGCUAUUUUGAAAGUGGGUCUUCUUGUCAUGUCUCAGGUUGUGGAGGGAGUGAACUGGAGUACUCUGAGAUUGACAGCACAUACUCAGAUGUGAAGACAGCUGAAGAAGGAGGAUGAACGUGGAGAACAGGUGAACAGCAAUCCAAUAGUUUCUCAAUCCAUCAUGCAACCUCAAACUAAUCAUAAUCCAUCUCCUAAACUUCAUCAGAGAACAUCUGGAGGUUAUAUUAACCAGUGGCAACGUCAAUCCCAUCUGUUCUUCAAGAGAAAGCUGGCUCAUGAUCUGACAGGCCCUCCACAACAUCUCUCAGCAGAUGAGGUUGAGAAACUGAACCACAAGGGAUAUCCUUAUCAGAAUUUCAGAGAGUGUCCCAUAAAGCCAUGCACAGACGGGCCAGUAGAGACAUCUUCAGAAAGUGAAAGUCACUGCUCCUUCACCGGCUCAGAGUUUGACUGUGAGAGAGAACUGUCCCUCAUCAGCUAACAUGACAAAGAUGAACAUCCACCUGAAGGCAAGGACACAUGUGCAGCUUCAUUUAUCUGACACCCAAAUUAAACAUGUUUAUAAAAACAGGGCGAAUAUUGGUUUUGCACUUUAGUUAUUAUAAAAUCCAAAGAAUGUAACUCUUUAUAUCCAAAGAAAUCCUAAAUAAGAAUUUAUUUUGAAAGCUUAAUAACUUUUUUAUCUAGUUAAUCACAACACUGACCCAAACUA
ensembl:lncRNA